AGUCAUUUGGACUCAAAAAUUCUAGUUUGAUAACAACUUUAGUUUAUUAAAUUUAAAAUAAAAUAAAAAACUACUAAGAUAGGGAGUGUUACUGAUUUUUUAGGAGUCCAUAACAUUGAUGCUCUGCUCUAUAAGUACUUUGCUAACCAUUAGAGUAAAAAAUUUUGAAUGUCAAAUAAUAUCCUUUUUAGUCUCAGAUAUGGGUAUGAUUAUACAGUCCCCAAACUGAGACAAAUAAAUAAAUGACACAAAAUAAUCAUGAAUGACAGAAAGAAAAGAAGAGUAAAGACGUCAUAGGCGUCCCCAAGCGUUCCGCUUGUUUUUCUUGCUAUCUGGUGACUUUAGAAGUUGAGACAUGAUGACUACAUGCUCGGGAAUGGAGAGUCUUGCAUUAAUAUUCCAUAUUUUGCUCUAAGCACAUAUGCACAAAAAAACAAAGAGAAACAAAACAAGAAUUAGAAGUGGAAUUUGAUUCUACAGCGUGCAUAAAAAAAAUAAAGACAAACGAAAACCAAAACAAACGAAGUGCAAAUGGAUUCUUAAGUUAAGCACUAUUUCUUUAUUUAAGGUUUCAUCAAUUAGUGGCAACAAAAUUUACUACAUAAACUGAAAUGCAUAUUUUAGUCUAAUGAUAGUAAGAAAAGAUAAAAGUAUGCCUUCUGAUACAAAAGCACAUUCAAAUAUUAUAUGAUAUUUAGACAGAACUUGAAGCCUCUUAGAAUUAGUACUUUUUAUAUAAAGAAAUCUUAAGUUUAUGCCAUAAGAAACAUAAACUUAUACUCAACUUUGAUUUUAAUUGUUGGUUUUCAAAAGAACACAAUGUUCUAACUUUAUCAGGCAGGAACUUUGUAGCAAACGAAUUCAACAAGUCUCUUCCUUAGCAAGUCUCUCCCUUCACACUUCGUUGUACCCAUGAAUAUAAAACGCCUAGCCUUUGCUAGCAGAAACUAGUUACUGUUGUGCUCUAAAUUAAAUAAAUUUUGCUCCUUGUGUAAAUAAUAGUCCAAAGUGUUGACGGUUAUUCAAUAGGGCUCAGAUGAAUGGUCAGAGAUAUGCUUUCCAGAUCAUUUAGAAUGACUAGAAUAUCUAAACCUAUUAACAGGAUCUAUAGAAUAAACUUAAUACAUGUAUGUCAACAUUUCAGUAGAAUAAACUUCUUUUAUACAACAUUCAAGAAAGAAAACAGUUAUUAAUCUUAAAAUAUGCAAGAGCUAAUAGACUGUCUAUGGAAUAUCCUAUGAACAUGAUUCUAAGCAGUCAAGAACUAACUUAAUACAUGUAUAUCUGACUUAUAACUUCAAACCUCUCAUUCUUACUUAACCGUCCUUCCAAUUUUUGAGAAGCCUGAAACAUGAUUUCUAAGGCGUGAUUUCAAAAAUUAAAAUAAAAAAAAGAUCUUUUCCUCUUAAUAUAUCUAGAACAUAACAUACUGGACAAAAUUCAAAUAUGUGACUUAAGUCAAAGGGAGUAUUCGAUCCUACGAGCAUGAUAUCUAUUCUUGUUAUGUUUCUAAUGAAACUUUCACACAUGGAAACAUUUAUUCAAUAAUCAAACAAAACACAAUAAGCCAAAUACCACACUAUAUUGUCUCGCCAUCAUAAGAAAUAAAAUAUAGCCUACUAGUUAGUCACAUUUUAUCAUCUAGAAUAGUGAAAAGGAGAAAGUAUUGACCUGCUUUAGAGCAGUGAACUGAGGGCGAGGAUCUUGGGUCCGCCGCGCGACCUUAAGUUCUACUAGAAAGCAACGAAAGAAUUUAUCUACUAUUGUCGAAGCCAAACAGAGACAAAGAAAGAACUCGAAGAAGAUCAGUUUUUGGGAAAGAGAAAAAACAAUAGGGCAUAAGUGCUUUAGGGAGGAGAGGCAGCCAAAAAAAGCCUCUCAAAUGUGGGGUGAAAGUAGGCAGCUCCAGCUUCUGGUUUUUUGAGUGAAAGGGCGGCUAACAAUCAUCAAUUUUUUAGGGUAAAGGGGGCGACUCCAAAAACAUGUCUAGAUGGACUCCAAGUGCUGGUUUUUAUAGGUGAAAAUCUAGGGUUCUUGAUUUGGGCCGUGAUUUUGAAAUUGAGUCAAGGAUACUAAACCAUUUGAAAAUUGAACGUUGGUACUGCAGAGAAAUUAAAUGGAGGGCAGGGCUUCUUGCUUCAAAAUGGCAAGCCUGCCAUGGCUGAGCAACACUGAAGUUUUGUGAAGAAAAGAAAAAGGGAGAAAAUAAGCGGUUGUUUGGUAGAGAGAAGGGAUUCUAGAGUGUUCUACUGUUGGGGUAGUAGAAGAUUUUGGGCUGCCGACUUGGGCUUGUUCUUGGGCUAUUCAGAGUGACUGAAA
rnacentral:lncRNA from 1 species